AUACGGAGGACGCGAGCGUUAUCCGGAUUCAUUGGGUUUAAAGGGUGCGCAGGCGGCCGUGCAAGUCAGCGGUGAAAGCCCGGGGCUCAACCCCGGAAGUGCCGUUGAUACUGCAUGGCUGGAAUGCGGUCGAGGCGGGCGGAACGUCGGGUGUAGAGGUGGAAUGGGUAGAUAUGAAGAAGAACACCGAUUGCGUAGGCAGCUGACCAGACCGCAAAUGACGCUCAUGCACGAAAGGGCGGGGAUCGAACAGGAUUAGAUACCCUGGUAGUCCGCACAGUAAACGAUGAAUACUUGUUUUCGGCGAUAUAAUGUCGGAGGCAAAGCGAAAGCGAUAAGUAUUCCACCUGGGGAGUACGCCGGCAACGGUGAAACUCAAAUGAAUUGACGGGG
rnacentral:rRNA from 1 species